UACAGAGGGUGCGAGCGUUAAUCGGAAUUACUGGGCGUAAAGCGCGCGUAGGCGGCUUUGCAAGUCGGGUGUGAAAUCCCCAGGCUUAACCUGGGAACUGCAUUCGAGACUGCAUUGCUAGAGUAUGGGAGAGGGAAGUGGAAUUUCCGGUGUAGCGGUGAAAUGCGUAGAUAUCGGAAGGAACAUCAGUGGCGAAAGCGGGUCUCUGGGCCGUAACUGACGCUGAGGAGCGAAAGCAUGGGGAGCGAACAGG
rnacentral:rRNA from 1 species